AGGCGGGGAGCCGUUGGGGCCGUUGGGGGCGGCGUGAGGCGAGGGGGCCGACCGUGAGGGGCCUCGUGGCGACCUCGAGCCGGCGAGGGGCAUCUGCCCCGCUGUCACCUGAGGCGGCGGGGGCUGUGGGGGAGGGCAGGUGCCCCGGGCGCGGGGUGCCGAGGGUCGGGAGAGGUCUCCCUUUCGAGGAGUGAGCGCUGCCGGCCGCCGAGGCCCUGCCGCAGCUGCUUUGGGAGUGGUGUGUGACCUGCUGCCAGCUGCAGCUUGGGCUGGAAGUCUGAGGAUGAAAAAGGUCAUCACAGCGCUACCACAACGCGAGUGUUUGAUGAGGUUAAUCUGCCGCUAUGGUGCGCUCCUUCGUUAACCAAGAGCGUCUUUAGGCUGGUGACCGGGUGGUAAAGGCUAAUAGCUGUGGCGGCUGCUGUAAGAAAGAGGCAGCAGGAAUUGGCACUAGGGUUUACGCGUGUCCUAGCACCAUCAGCUGCUCUUGCACGCAAAUUGGCUCCUAAUGCUGGAUUUCACUGUGAUGGUCUAGUGUGUACUGUAAAAUACCAGGGUCUAUAGCUGUGACUUUUUUUUUUCUUCAUUUACUUCGAGGUGCUUUAUUCUGCCUGCCUAACAUCCUAAACAUCUAUACCGUAUGUAGGAUGAAGAAUUAGUAACACGAUGUUAGGAUAGAGGGGAAAUACGUCUGUGGUUUGGAAGAUGAAUGCAUACACUUCUUGUGCUACAAGUCCACAUAUACGCUGGAGCCAAAAGUAGUUGUGCUUUUUUUUUGGCGGAUGGCAGCAGUGCUGAAGCGAUACGUGCCUACACAGCAGUUGCAUUGCUGCAGUAACAAGGGCGACUGUUCUCCUGGCUUCUGCUACAUCCACAGCCAAUGGUGACUACAGAUAUGAUUUACACAGGUUAAAUCAAGGUCAGUAUCCUUUCCAAGCACUGUAAUCCAGCGAGCUCGUUCACUCCUGCAAACAGCAAAGACAAAUUUCAGUUUCCAAAACUUCUAGUCUUGAUAAUGGUAAAGACUAUAUUCCCUUUUCAAAAUCAUAUUAUCUUAAAUUCUUCAUCUUUCUUAUAGUGGAAAACAAGGAAGAAAAAAAAAAAUCACACAACCAGCUUUCUCUCCCCUCAAAAUACAGCCAGAAGAUACAAUAUUACUUUUAGUAAUGUAUUAUUCAAACAUAAUUAAAUAUUUGAUGUAUGUUGGAGUAGAAAAUAGGUCUACAUGUAUGGGACCUACCUGGCAUGGUAUCUUGUACACCUUUACCUGUAUUACUUAAAAGUAAUUAAAAUGAACUCCUUCACUAGUA